rnacentral:rRNA from 1 species
GACGAACGCUGGCGGCGUGCUUAACACAUGCAAGUCGAACGAUGAUGCCAGCUUGCUGGUGGAUUAGUGGCGAACGGGUGAGUAACACGUGAGCAACCUGCCCCUGACUUCGGGAUAACCGCGGGAAACCGUGGCUAAUACCGGAUAUGACGCGCUAUCGCAUGGUGGUGUGUGGAAAGAUUUAUCGGUUGGGGAUGGGCUCGCGGCCUAUCAGCUUGUUGGUGGGGUGAUGGCCUACCAAGGCGACGACGGGUAGCCGGCCUGAGAGGGUGACCGGCCACACUGGGACUGAGACACGGCCCAGACUCCUACGGGAGGCAGCAGU